AGACCCUGAUGGAUAAAAGAUGGAUAUUUUUUCCUGGAGAAGCUAAAACAUUGUAACUUUGAGGUUCUGAUACCAGCUUUUACAACGUUAUUUACAGAACCCCAUGAUGAUAUUCCAACUCCUGUCUACAAAAGUGGGAAGAAAAUCUUAAGUCUAUGUUGGGACCAACAUGGUCAUUCUUCUGAGAGGCUGAGGUGACAAAACCAUUCCCAUUUGUCCUUGGAUUGGAAGAUGGCGAUCUCUGCCAUCAAGCCUUCGUUGUUUUUGACAGACAGUCACUCCAGCAAUACACCCUCCUUGGUGAUGUUGACAUGUUUUAUGUUUUGGACAUUAAUUUUACUAAGCAGUGCACAUCAGUGUGGGUGUUUUUGAAGACUGUUGUUUACAAACUCCCAAGAACGGAAUCCCUUUCUAUAAGAAGUCUGUGUAGUUAUUUUUCAUGCUGAUAACUGUUACAUUAACCAUUUCUUAUUACACGGUUCUCUAAAAUGCUAGAUUCUGAUUGGCCAGUCGUGACAUUCUACUACUGCUCAAAACUAAAAACUCCAAUGCUGCAAAUCAUUUUGACAGGUACAGUCUUAUAUAACACAAAAAUUAAAUAUCAAUGUCUAUUAAUUACAUAUCCGACAUUAAAUUUACAAAUGAUUAACCCAAUGUGUUCGUGACAUUUGUCCGGAAGAAACUGUUGGGGCUUUUUUUCUGUGAUGACAUGCUGCCAAUA